UCCUGCGGGAGGCAGCAGUGGGGAAUUUUGGACAAUGGGCGAAAGCCUGAUCCAGCAAUGCCGCGUGAGUGAAGAAGGCCUUCGGGUUGUAAAGCUCUUUUGUCAGGGAAGAAACGGUGAGAGCUAAUAUCUCUUGCUAAUGACGGUACCUGAAGAAUAAGCACCGGCUAACUACGUGCCAGCAGCCGCGGUAAUACGUAGGGUGCAAGCGUUAAUCGGAAUUUCUGGGCGUAAAGCGUGCGCAGGCGGUUUUGUAAGUCUGAUGUGAAAUCCCCGGGCUCAACCUGGGAAUUGCAUUGGAGACUGCAAGGCUAGAAUCUGGCAGAGGGGGGUAGAAUUCCACGUGUAGCAGUGAAAUGCGUAGAUAUGUGGAGGAACACCGAUGGCGAAGGCAGCCCCCUGGGUCAAGAUUGACGCUCAUGCACGAAAGCGUGGGGAGCAAACAGGAUUAGAAACCCGAGUAGUCCCAU
rnacentral:rRNA from 1 species